GACAGAGGGGGCAGGCGUUGCUCGGAAUUACUGGGCGUAAAGGGCGCGUAGGCGGGAUGGCAAGUCGGUCGUGAAAUCCCUCGGCUCAACUGAGGAUCGUCGAUCGAUACUGCCGUUCUUGAGGAUUGCAGAGGAGACUGGAAUUCCCGGUGUAGCGGUGAAAUGUGUAGAGAUCGGGAGGAACACCGGUGGCGAAGGCGGGUCUCUGGGCAAUUCCUGACGCUGAGGCGCGAAAGCGUGGGGAGCAAACGGG
rnacentral:rRNA from 1 species